GGCGAACGCUGGCGGCGUGCUUAACACAUGCAAGUCGAACGGAAAGGCCCUGCUUUUGUGGGGUGCUCGAGUGGCGAACGGGUGAGUAACACGUGAGUAACCUGCCCUUGACUUUGGGAUAACUUCAGGAAACUGGGGCUAAUACCGGAUAGGAGCUCCUGCUGCAUGGUGGGGGUUGGACAGUUUCGGCGGUUGGGGAUGGACUCGCGGCUUAUCAGCUUGUUGGUGGGGUAGUGGCUUACCAAGGCUUUGACGGGUAGCCGGCCUGAGAGGGUGACCGGCCACAUUGGGACUGAUAUACGGCCCAGACUCCUACGGGAGGCAGCAGUGGGGAAUAGUGCACAAUGGGCGGAAGCCUGAUGCAGCAACGCCGCGUGCGGGAUGACGGCCUUCGUGUUGUAAACCGCUUUCGCCUGUGACGAAGCGUGAGUGACGGUAAUGGGUAAAGAAGCACCGGCUAACUACGUG
rnacentral:rRNA from 1 species